GAUGAAGAACGUAGCGAAAUGCGAUAAGUAGUGUGAAUUGCAGAAUUCAGUGAAUCAUCGAAUCUUUGAACGCACAUUGCGCCCUUUGGUAUUCCUUAGGGCAUGCCUGUUCGAGCGUCAUUUAAACCUUCAAGCCCUGCUUGGUGUUGGGUGCCUGUCCCGCCCCCGCGCGUGGACUCACCUCAAAUCCAUUAGCGGCCCCCGCAAGGCCACGAGCGCAGCAGAAACGCAAACUCGUGUGCCCGGCGGGCGGCUCCCAGAAGCUACACCCACCAUUUUGACCUCGGAUCAGGUAGGGAUACCCGCUGAACUUAAGCAUAUCAAUAAGCGGAGGA
rnacentral:misc_RNA from 1 species